rnacentral:lncRNA from 1 species
CUGUUCCCAUUUUAUCCUGCUGUUAGGAUACAAUUUGGACAACCUGGUGACAGAUAGGUUGCCAUGUAUUAAAUUUAUUUAUCAAAGUUUGGUUUAAAAUAAGCCACAUUCUGCAUCAAAGAAACUACAUUCUAUAACCUAUACAAUUAUGCAAUCCAUAUAUCUGGGACGUAAUCGAUUCAUAUGAAUCGAUUACAAUAAUAAUUCUUAACGUGUCUUCAACAGAAACUAGUGAUAGAAAAUCUGUUCCCAUUUUAUCCUGCUGUUAGGAUACAAUUUGGACAACCUGGUGACAGAUAGGUUGCCAUGUAUUAAAUUUAUUUAUCAAAGUUUGGUUUAAAACAAGCCACAUUCUGCAUCAAAGAAACUACAUUCUGUAACCGAUACAAUUAUGCAAUCCAUAUAUCUGGGAUGCGGCAGCACAAGUUAUUUUGUAUUUUCGUUUAUUUAGGAUAAUUACAUUGGCUGUUGAAGAGGGACAAUGAACGAAGUACAAAAAAAGGAAUUUCAUGGGUGCCCCAGUUUCCAGUGAGAUAUGCUCCUGCUUAUAGAUCUGACAUCUGGAAAAAGCAUCUCACAUGCAACAAGCCAAGAUGUAACCUUUUCUGUAGUGAGAGUAACUAUCUUUUCUAUCUUGCUAAGACCUUUUUGUUCUCCCACUGUCUGAAGAAACAAUAUUUUGGUUCUAUUUUGUAUUUGUUGUGACUUGGGGAAAAGUAAAUUAUGGAAUGUUCUAUUAUGCUGCAGCAUUAUUACUGACAUGUCACUCUUGACAGUUCCUUCUACACUAUUUUUGCAAGUACAUUUUAAAAUAGCAAGGGGUGAAAAAGACUAGUCCAAGUCAGACCACUCUGAAAAAAGUAAAUUUGAACUCAAGACUGGAUUUAUCCAACAUAGGAAAAGUAAUGAUGUUGGCCUAUAAGUUUUCCCUUUCGGUAUAUAAGAGUAGAAACAAAUAGGCUGAUCACUUACCAGGUACUUGAUCAGGUGCACCGUUCACGUAUGUCUCAUCAAGAAUACUGUAUAUGCACCUACCUCUCAGUUUAGCCAUUUACACUAGCAGCAUGCUCAACAAGUCCACCAAUCUCUGAAGCACUCAGUGUCAGCACCCAAUCACCUUUGUUUAUGUUUAAGGGGAAUGAUAUUUCAUCACCAUCUUCUUCUUCUUCCUGUUAGAACUGCAG